AAAGUCGUAACAAGGUCUCCGUAGGUGAACCUGCGGAGGGAUCAUUAACAAAUACUGGCACAUUCGAGAAGAAGAAGCUGCGUCAGCAGGUUCCUUCUUCUCCAAUGUGUCUAACACAUGUUGCCACAUGUUGAGAAUUCUUGGUGACGACACCUUGAGAAAUCUUGGUCUCGACACAAUAGGGGUUACACCACAUGUGGCAUACAUAUCCUACAUUUACAUUUCAACACACAACAUUCAAGAAAAUUCAGAACAACUUUUAACAAUGGAUCUCUUGGCUCUU
rnacentral:misc_RNA from 1 species